UUGACGGACCCGCACAAGCAGCGGAGCGUGUGGUUUAAUUCGAGGCUACACGAAGAACCUUACCAGGGUUUGACAUGCAAGUGGUAGGAAUCCGAAAGGUGACCGACCCUUCGGGGAGCUUGUACAGGUGCUGCAUGGCUGUCGUCAGCUCGUGUCGUGAGAUGUUCGGUUAAGUCCGCUAACGAGCGCAACCCUCGCUGUGUGUUACAAGUGUCACACGGAACUGCCGGUCAUAAACCGGAGGAAGGUGGGGAUGACGUCAAGUCCUCAUGGCCCUUAUAGGUGGGGCUACACACGUCAUACAAUGGCCGGUACAGAGGGUAGCCAACCCGCGAGGGGGAGCCAAUCCCACAAAGCCGGUCGUAGUCCGGAUCGCAGUCUGCAACUCGACUGCGUGAAGUCGGAAUCGCUAGUAAUCGCGGAUCAGCAUGUCGCGGUGAAUACGUUCCCGGGUCUU
rnacentral:rRNA from 1 species